rnacentral:tRNA from 1 species
GGUUUAUAAUUGGUUUAUAGAAAAUUUUGAAAAUUUUCUUAAAGUGUUCAAUUCACUUGUAGACUU